ACGCACGCUGGCGGCAGGCUUAACCCAUGCAAGUCGCGCGCAUCCUUCGGGGUGAGCGGCGGACGGGUGAGUAACGCGGGGGAACGUGCCCUCUUCUACGGAAUAGCCUCGGGGAACUGAGAGGAAUGCCGUAUACGCCCGCAAGGGGAAAGAUUUAUCGGAGGAGGAUCGGCCCGCGUUGGAUUAGGUAGUUGGUGGGGUAACGGCCUACCAAGCCGACGAUCCAUAGCUGGUUUGAGAGGAUGAUCAGCCACACUGGGACUGAGACACGGCCCAGACUCCUACGGGAGGCAGCAGUGGGGAAUCUUGGACAAUGGGGGCAACCCUGAUCCAGCCAUGCCGCGUGAUCGAUGAAGGCCUUAGGGUUGUAAAGAUCUUUCAGCUGGGAAGAUAAUGACGGUACCAGCAGAAGAAGCCCCGGCUAACUCCGUG
rnacentral:rRNA from 1 species